CCCUUAGAUGUUCUGGGCGGCCCGCGCACUACAAUGGCGUGUGCAGCGAGUGCCGAAGUAGAGUUUUCCGAGGUAUUCUUGCAAUGCUCGUUUUGAUGGGGAUAGACCCUUGCAACUGUUGGUUUUGAACGAGGAAUUCCUUGUAAGCAUGGUUUAUCAUCCGACGCUGAAUGCGUCCCUGCCCUUUGUACACACCGCCCGUCGCACCAACCGAUUGGAUGUUUUGUUGAAAUAUGUGGAUGCUUGUUGGGUGAAUUCAUUUUUGCUUGAUAGACAGAAACGUAUUAAAACUGAAUAUCUAGAGGAUGGUGAAGUCGUAACA
rnacentral:rRNA from 1 species